CUCGAGUCACGAUCCUACUCGGACGCUGCCUCCUCCCGAGGGCCACCCACCAGGGGCCCCGCAUAACUGGGGCUUUGCUGCCCGGGUCCCUACCACUGCACUAACCUCCGUCUACGCUACGCUGCCACGAAUAUUCUGUCAAUAAAUUCACACAGCAGACCGUGCGUUUAAGUCCACAAACUUUGACAAGUUGGUGGGCAGCAGUGGAUAACAAGUACCUGACAUUCACGAGUUCCUGGAGUUCCCGGGAACGGAGCAAAUAAACAGCGUUAACUGUAA